rnacentral:snRNA from 1 species
GUUUUUGCUUCUUCAACUCCUAUACUCAUUCUGGAAUAAUACAGAGAUUAGCAUGACAUCUGUGCAAGGAUGACACACACAAAAUAAGCCAGGCAUGUAAUC